rnacentral:rRNA from 1 species
ACUGCUCAGUAACACGUGGAUAACCUGCCCUUGGGUCCGGCAUAACCCCGGGAAACUGGGGAUAAUUCCGGAUAACGCACAUAUGCUGGAAUGCUUUAUGCGUAAAGUGGAUUCGUCUGCCCAAGGAUGGGUCUGCGGCCUAUCAGGUAGUAGUGGGUGUAAUGUACCUACUAGCCUACAACGGGUACGGGUUGUGAGAGCAAGAGCCCGGAGAUGGAUUCUGAGACAUGAAUCCAGGCCCUACGGGGCGCAGCAGGCGCGAAAACUUUACAAUGCGGGAAACCGUGAUAAGGGGACACCGAGUGCCAGCAUCAUAUGCUGGCUGUCCAGGUGUGUAAAAUACACCUGUUAGCAAGGGCCGGGCAAGACCGGUGCCAGCCGCCGCGGUAACACCGGCGGCCCGAGUGGUGAUCGUGAUUAUUGGGUCUAAAGGGUCCGUAGCCGGUUUGGUCAGUCCUCCGGGAAAUCUGACGGCUCAACCGUUAGGCUUUCGGGGGAUACUGCCAGGCUUGGAACCGGGAGAGGUAAGAGGUACUACAGGGGUAGGAGUGAAAUCUUGUAAUCCCUGUGGGACCACCUGUGGCGAAGGCGUCUUACCAGAACGGGUUCGACGGUGAGGGACGAAAGCUGGGGGCACGAACCGGAUUAGAUACCCGGGUAGUCCCAGCCGUAAACGAUGCUCGCUAGGUGUCAGGCAUGGCGCGACCGUGUCUGGUGCCGCAGGGAAGCCGUGAAGCGAGCCACCUGGGAAGUACGGCCGCAAGGCUGAAACUUAAAGGAAUUGGCGGGGGAGCAC